rnacentral:piRNA from 1 species
UGGAAAGUAUUUCUCUGAAAGCAAUUGGC